rnacentral:lncRNA from 1 species
ACUGGGAAGACUGAAACUACCAAGGAUUUGGCAAAAGCUGUAGCCAAACAAUGUGUUGUUUUCAACUGCUCUGAUGGGUUGGAUUAUUUGGCUUUGGGAAAAUUCUUUAAGGGACUGUUAUCUUGUGGAGCCUGGGCUUGCUUUGAUGAGUUUAACAGAAUUGAUUUGGAAGUACUCUCUGUGGUUGCUCAACAAAUCCUUACUAUCCAAAGAGGUAUUAAUGCAGGUGCUGAUAUACUGAUGUUUGAAGGAACUGAACUAAAACUUGACCCCACAUGUGCUGUGUUUAUAACAAUGAACCCUGGGUAUGCUGGGCGAUCAGAACUGCCAGAUAACCUGAAGG